AAGCAGAAGCAGAAGCAGAAGCAGAAGCAGAAGCAGAAGCAGAAGCAGAAGCAGAAGAAGGUUUUGAAGUUCACCCUCAACUGCACUCAUGCUGUAGUAGAUGGAAUCAUGGAUGCUGCCAAUUUUGAGCAGUUCCCCCAGGAGAGAAUCAAGGUGAACAGGAAAGCUGGCAAUCUCGGAGGAGGAGUUGUGACCAUUGAGCAGAGCAAGAGCAAGAUCACUGUCACUUCUGAGGUGCCUUUCUCCAAAAGGUAUUUGAAAUAUCUCACCAAAGAAUAUUUGAAGAAGAACAACCUCCGAGACUGGCUGCGUGUUGUCGCCAACAGCAAAGAGAGUUACGAGCUGCGUUACUUCCAGACUAACCAGGAUGAAGAGCAGGAGGAUGACGAACAUUAA
rnacentral:lncRNA from 1 species